AUUCCGUCUUCCAUCAGCCACCGACGUUGCCUAUCGGAAGCGAUAUCGCUCAUGGGGCCCUGCGCUUCAGACCUUCAUCGCACCCUCGUUGUCACCCACCCCGCCCUUCAUCGCUCCAUCUUUCACAUCGUCGCGGUCGAACAACUCCCUCCGCACCGGGAUCUUCCUCGCGAUCAAAGAGCUCCCUCCGCGAGGAAGGCAAUGACGUGCGGAGGGAGUUCUUCGAUCGCAAGGAAAGAGGGAGCGACGCCGAGGGUGCGAUCGGGGUCGGAAGGGCGGGGGCCCCAUGAGCGGCACCUUCUGCAGCGGCGACGAGGAGGUAGAGCUCCUUGCCGCCAACAAGAAGGGGUGGGGCAACAAGGGCGAAGGCGGAGGGGGCGGUGCCGUUCACGGUGGGAGCAAGGAACGAAGGUAACAGGCGGCACCGCUCACAAUAGGGGAAGGUGACAUGCGACGUGGUGGAAGGGGAAGGAGCAUUUUUAUGGUGCUCCUGUCAAGGAUAUCAAUCUUAGAUCGAUGUAAAGCAAACAGUUUACGAGCUAAGGAGGGCUCGCUGCGGUUGCUGCGACUGCGACGACGAUGGUGGCAACUACAGCAAAGGAGGAAGCUACAGCUGAGGAGCAGUAAUGCUACAACAGAGGAGAUAGUUGUAGCGAUGCUACAAUAGAAGAGAAAGCUACAAUAGAGGAGGAAGCUACAGCGAUUUGGUGGAGAAACCUACAGCGAUUUGCUCUAAGCAGAAGCUGAGGACAUGAAGGAGAAGAGGGAAGGAGCGGGCAGGGGUUAGAGAGGGAUCCACUGUCGAGGGCACGGAAAAGAGUUCCCCCCUUCUCUAUAGAGGCAAGGGAUAUGGUGAAUGACAAGCUUCGAUGGCCGCGGAGUCUUGCUUGUCUCACUUGCUCUGGUACCAUAUUGGAAAUAAUAGAAGAUAAGAAGAAUUAUUGAAGAAGCUUUAUUGAAGAAGCUUAAA